GCAAGUCGAGCGCAGUCCUUCGGGACCGAGCGGCGGACGGGUUAGUAACGCGUGGGAACAUACCCAACUCUAAGGAAUAGCCUCGGGAAACUGAGAGUAAUACCUUAUACGCCCUUCGGGGGAAAGAUUUAUCGGAGAUGGAUUAGCCCGCGUUGGAUUAGGUAGUUGGUGGGGUAAUGGCUCACCAAGCCGACGAUCCAUAGCUGGUUUGAGAGGAUGAUC
rnacentral:rRNA from 1 species